rnacentral:lncRNA from 1 species
GAUUCAGUGACAUUUGACGACGUGAUACAGCACCUCACAAAAGGAGUGGUUGAGACCGGACACCGAGCAGAGGAUAUUGGCAUAUUACAUGAAUGUGACCUCCGUGGGAGUUCCCGUUUUGAAUCCUUCCUGGUGUGAGGACACGUGCUGCUGGUAUCUGCCCCAUCCCUUAAUGCAGAUUGAGCGAAGCAUUCUGGUGAGUGAAAAAGAAACCUGACAAAUCAGAAAAUUGUGGGGGAAGUCCAGCUGAGCCUUUGGGGCGGGGGAGUAGCUGCUACUCUACCAUAGCAGGUGGUAGGGAGUGUGCGGCAAUGAGGCCUGACUGCCCCUUUCGUCUGUAGUCCCUGCUUCUGGUUGGGUGGGCACCAGCCAUCCUCCCUCCGCCGUCUCUAGGCCCUGUGUUCAGCAGCUGUCUCAGGAGGAGUGCGAUUCUUGACAAAGGAAAGUAACAUCCUUGCUUCCUCCUCUGCAGGGUAGCAGUGUUUUGUGGUUCUCAUCUCCGAAGGCAUCUUGGUGACUGAACAGCAGACGAUGGGUGAAGACGCCCAGCCUCAGGAGAUGGCAUCCACCAGCUCCCCACGGGCCGCUUCUAAGCAGGUGGUGUGAUGCUGCUGCCCCCCCCCCCCACUGCCAGCCUAGCCAUCUCUGCUCACAAGCCAGGCAAGACAGGCCAGAAAAUCCUUGUGUUACCUCACCCCUUUUCUGACCUUCAUUCAACAAGCAUUUAUUGACCACCUGCUGUAUACCAAGCUCCAAAAGCAACUGAAACAAUCCUCACCCUCAAGGACAGACACAUGGUCAGAAUGUUACAAGUGGGACCUGCUCUCACCAAGGGGGGCUCCUAGGAUUUGUACAUUUCAGGAUGCAGGUUACGCUUCAGUUAGAAAUAUGACAAAGCUAAACAAACAAGCCCAAUAUUAGCAAAUUAACCCCCUCCCCUGUCUGCAGGUCCUGUUCAUUUUACACCUCAACCUCCCCAGCCAGCCCUGGCUGGAAGGGAGCUCUCCCUCCUCCCUGCAGCCCGUUGUGCUUUCAGACCCGACCUCACUGCCUGGGAGUGGCCCGCACCCACAAACCGGGAGCCCCCCGAGGCAGGGUGGGGCAGAUCCACCCCGGGCCGCAGCACCCAACCCCUGCCCAGGCCCGGAGGAGGCCCUUGGC